UCCUACGGGUGGCUGCAGUCGAGAAUCUUCGGCAAUGGGCGCAAGCCUGACCGAGCGACGUCGCGUGGAGGACGAAGGCCUUCGGGUUGUAAACUCCUGUCGAGGGGGAGAAAGGUCCCGCAAGGGGCUUGAUCGAUCCCUGGAGGAAGCACGGGCUAAGUUCGUGCCAGCAGCCGCGGUAAGACGAACCGUGCGAACGUGAUUCGGAAUCACUGGGCUUAAAGCGCGUGUAGGCGGAUUGGUGCGUCGGCGCCUGAAAUCCCCCGGCUCAACCGGGGAACGCGGCCCGAAACGACCAGUCUGGAGGGACGUAGGGGGGACUGGAACUUCCGGUGGAGCGGUGAAAUGCGUUGAGAUCGGAAGGAACGCCCGUGGCGAAAGCGAGUCCCUGGACGUCUGCUGACGCUGAGACGCGAAAGCUAGGGGAGCGAACGGGAUUAGAUACCCUAGUAGUCG
rnacentral:rRNA from 1 species